rnacentral:rRNA from 1 species
AACGUAGGUGGCGAGCGUUAUCCGGAUUUACUGGGCGUAAAGGGCGCGUAGGCGGACAGUUUAGUCAGAGGUGAAAGCCCAGGGCUCAACCUUGGAAUUGCCUUUGAUACUGGCUGUCUUGAGUUCGGGAGAGGUGAGUGGAAUGCCGAGUGUAGAGGUGAAAUUCGUAGAUAUUCGCAAGAACACCAGUGGCGAAGGCGGCUCACUGGCCCGGUACUGACGCUGAGGUGCGAAAGCGUGGGGAGCAAACAGG